UGAAUUAUUUGGCAAACUAAUGGAAACGUUAGGACGCAAAGCUAUAGGGCCUUUAAAAUGGUAGCCAGUUGCAGAA
rnacentral:ncRNA from 1 species